rnacentral:rRNA from 1 species
UACGAAGGGGGCUAGCGUUGCUCGGAAUCACUGGGCGUAAAGCGCACGUAGGCGGAUUGUUAAGUCAGGGGUGAAAUCUUGGAGCUUAACUCCGAAACUGCAUUCGAUACUGCCGUGCUUGAGGACUGGAGAGGAGACUGGAAUUUACGGUGUAGCGGUGAAAUGCGUAGAUAUUCGCAAGAACACCAGUGGCGAAGGCGGCUCACUGGCCCGGUACUGACGCUGAGGUGCGAAAGCGUGGGGAGCAAACAGG